rnacentral:rRNA from 1 species
UGGCGUAAGCGCAGCGUAGGCGGUUUCUUAAGUCUGAUGUGAAAGCCCACGGCUCAACCGGGGAGGGUCAUUGGAAACUGGAAAACUUGAGUGCAGAAGAGGAAAGUGGAAUUCCAUGUGUAGCGGUGAAAUGCGCAGAGAUAUGGAGGAACACCAGUGGCGAAGGCGACUUUCUGGUCUGUAACUGACGCUGAUGUGCGAAAGCGUGGGGAUCAAACAGGAUUAGAUACCC